rnacentral:rRNA from 1 species
UACAGAGGGUGCGAGCGUUGUUCGGAAUUACUGGGCGUAAAGCGCGCGCAGGCGGCUUUUUAAGUCCAUCGGUGAAAUGCCGGGGCUCAACCCCGUGCCUGCCGAGGAUACUGGAAGGCUGGAGACACGUAGAGGCAAGCGGAAUUCCGGGUGUAGCGGUGGAAUGCGUAGAGAUCCGGAAGAACACCGGAGGCGAAGGCGGCUUGCUGGGCGUAGUCUGACGCUGAGGCGCGAAAGCGUGGGGAGCGAACAGG